rnacentral:rRNA from 1 species
AUUGAACGCUGGCGGCAGGCUUAACACAUGCAAGUCGAGCGGAGAGAGGUAGCUUGCUACUGAUCUUAGCGGCGGACGGGUGAGUAAUGCUUAGGAAUCUGCCUAUUAGUGGGGGACAACAUUUCGAAAGGAAUGCUAAUACCGCAUACGUCCUACGGGAGAAAGCAGGGGAUCUUCGGACCUUGCGCUAAUAGAUGAGCCUAAGUCGGAUUAGCUAGUUGGUGGGGUAAAGGCCUACCAAGGCGACGAUCUGUAGCGGGUCUGAGAGGAUGAUCCGCAACACUGGGACUGAGACACAGCCCAGACUCCUACGGGAGGCAGCAGUGGGGAAUAUUGGACAAUGGGCGCAAGCCUGAUCCAGCCAUGCCGCGUGUGUGAAGAAGGCCUUAUGGUUGUAAAGCACUUUAAGCGAGGAGGAGGCUACUUUAGUUAAUACCUAGAGAUAGUGGACGUUACUCGCAGAAUAAGCACCGGCUAACUCUGUGCCAGCCGCCGCGGUAA